ACUUAUUUAAUAUAAAAGUAUAUUUAACUUCCAAUUAAAAAGUCUGAUUUAAUCAGAAUGAGUA
rnacentral:tRNA from 1 species